GAAACUAAGAAAGCACAACUGAAACACUUGCAUAAAGGAUAAGUAUCUCAUCUAUAUGGUUUCAUUGUUUGAGCAUCCAACCUACCCUGAGCCAUUGGGUAAAAGGCCCAUUUAAUUUAUCUACCUAUCUCCAGGGUCCCUGCCAAAGGAAUGUGGAAUUGCCACUCUGAUAUUCAAGACCUUCUGGAAAGCAAGUGAUUCUACAUUAGAUUGCUAAAUUUGGACAAGCUGACAAGAACAACAAACCAGCAAUGCAACUAACUUUUUCCAACAGAAGUAUACACCACUGCUUGAUUAC
rnacentral:misc_RNA from 1 species